GACGGAGGAUGCAAGUGUUAUCCGGAAUCACUGGGCGUAAAGCGUCUGUAGGUGGUCAAAUAAGUCAACUGUUAAAUCUUGAGGCUCAACCUCAAAAUCGCAGUCGAAACUAUUAGACUAGAGUAUAGUAGGGGUAAAGGGAAUUUCCAGUGGAGCGGUGAAAUGCGUAGAGAUUGGAAAGAACACCGAUGGCGAAGGCACUUUACUGGGCUAUUACUAACACUGAGAGACGAAAGCUAGGGGAGCGAAAGGG
rnacentral:rRNA from 1 species